CAGUACGCUGCUGCAGCGUGCUUGAGGAAGCUCAAGCUAACGUUAACUAGCAGUAAUGAAAAACAGCUGGGCGCCAUUAAUUACAGAGCAACACACAGCACGGACUGUUCAGAACCAAUCAGAACGACUUAGAAGCAAUUUAUGAGAAGACAAAGUGUUGUUUAAGAUGACGACAUAAUAGCAGAUGUGCGACCAUGACAGGUUUUGAAUGUUGGUUUUGGCGGGCAGCUGCUCGCCCCUCUUUCCAGGACUGCACACCAUCACUGAAUCUUUUAUUGUCUUUAAGCCUCAUUCAUUCUCUGCUCACUUGAAGUGACUCGUGUCGUUGCCGCCGACGCCAGGAGACGUCAACUUCUGGACCAGAAUGCGGAUCACGUAGAUGAAGAUGAUGAAUCGUUCUCCACCUAACAAGUCUCGGUGCUGAUUCCGGUCCCUCGUGGUCGGCUUGUGAGAGGCACUCACCUCCUUAUCAGCCGGGAAACAGGAAGAGGAGCCCUCGUCUUAAUCCUCAGAGAGCGUCUCCUUCUGCAUUUUUACCUCCGCUCUCUGAGAUAAUAAGCUCCUCUCAAUCUGAGAUGUUCAUGUAAUACAAAACAUAAUGUACUUUUCUCAACCUGAGCUACCGACUGGAUUAUUUCCUCACCUUGUUGUCCUCUAUUUCACCGCGUUAAGUCCUUGUUUUCUUGUUCCUUUCUGCUUAUUUUCAUACUUUCAUUUUUUUUUUUUUUGCGAAUCUUAAAGAACAAAACUCACCAAACAUCAAACCUUUAAUUCACUCCUCGUUGCAUUUUGCAGCAUGUUUCCUUUUUCUUAGACGUCUUUAUAAACUUUCUUUCCAUUACAUGUGGUAUUUCCCUUCAGUAAAGGACGCGCGUCCUUCAUAGGUAAACACACACACACACACUUCUGUAGCUGUAGUCGAGGGUUAGUACUCACACUGGAC